rnacentral:rRNA from 1 species
CUACGGGAUGCACCAGUGAGGAAUAUUGCACAAUGGGGGGAACCCUGAUGCAGCAACGCCGCGUGGAGGAUGACGCAUUUCGGUGUGUAAACUCCUUUUAUAUGUCAAGAAAAUGACGGUAGCAUAUGAAUAAGCACCGGCUAACUCCGUGCCAGCAGCCGCGGUAAUACGGAGGGUGCAAGCGUUACUCGGAAUCACUGGGCGUAAAGGACGCGUAGGCGGGUUGGAAAGUCAGGUGUGAAAUCCUACAGCUUAACUGUAGAACUGGCAUUGAAACUUCUAAUCUAGAGUAUGGGAGGGGGAGAUGGAGUUAGUGGUGUAGGGGUAAAAUCCGUAGAUAUCACUAGGAAUACCUAAAGCGAAGGCGAUCUCCUGGAACAUUACUGACGCUAAGGCGUGAAAGCGUGGGGAGCAAACAGGAUUAGAUACCCUCGUAGUC